rnacentral:rRNA from 1 species
UACGUAGGGUGCAAGCGUUGUCCGGAAUUAUUGGGCGUAAAGAGCUCGUAGGCGGUCUGUCGCGUCGGCUGUGAAAACCCGAGGCUCAACCUCGGGCCUGCAGUCGAUACGGGCAAACUAGAGUACUGCAGGGGAGACUGGAAUUCCUGGUGUAGCGGUGAAAUGCGCAGAUAUCAGGAGGAACACCGGUGGCGAAGGCGGGUCUCUGGGCCGAAACUGACGCUGAGGAGCGAAAGCAUGGGGAGCGAACAGG